AGAGUUUGAUCAUGGCUCAGGAUGAACGCUGGCGGCGUGCCUAACACAUGCAAGUCGAACGGACUUAUACUGAAACCUAGUGAUUUAUGAGUUAGUGGCGGACGGGUGAGUAACGCGUGGAUAACCUGCCGUAUACCGGGGGAUAACACUUAGAAAUAGGUGCUAAUACCGCAUAAGCGCACGGCUCCGCAUGGGGCAGUGUGAAAAACUCCGGUGGUAUACGAUGGAUCCGCGUCUGAUUAGCUAGUUGGCGGGGUAACGGCCCACCAAGGCAGCGAUCAGUAGCCGGCCUGAGAGGGUGGACGGCCACAUUGGGACUGAGACACGGCCCAAACUCCUACGGGAGGCAGCAGUGGGGAAUAUUGCACAAUGGGGGAAACCCUGAUGCAGCGACGCCGCGUGAGUGAAGAAGUAUCUCGGUACGUAAAGCUCUAUCAGCAGGGAAGAAAAUGACGGUACCUGACCAAGAAGCCCCGGCUAACUACGUGCCAGCCGCCGCGGUAAUUC
rnacentral:rRNA from 1 species